GCCCCUUUUAGCCUGGGCUUGAGCGCGCGCAGGAAGUAAGCUUCGUGAUUUCCUUCUCAGGAUGGAACCAGCUUGGUGGCUUGAGGGUAACAGAGGCUUUUUGAAGGACUGAUGUAGGGCCACACUCCCUUUCUUCACACCUUCCUCUCAGCAGUCCCAUGAGCCCCUCCUCCUUUCGUGGCCUUCCUGCAACUGAGACACAAAAUGGGAGCCCCUGCACACACCCCGGGCUACUAGGGAACACCAGAGGAUGCCUCCUGCCCCGCGCCACCCCAUGCCUGGGCAGUCAGGGAGAGAGAAGGCAGCACAGCCUCCGAGCAUGGGGCCACCGUAACACGGAGCCUUUCCCUGCUUUUGGGCUUCCUGUCCUCUGGGAGUGGCCCGGCCCCCUGGGCCGCAGCUCUUCUGGCUCCCAAAGACUGUGUCCUCUUGCCUGCCCGGGCACUGUUCUCCUGGCAAGGCCUCUCCCAACAGGCUCAAAAGGCAUCCUGCCCAAGAGACUGGGGCAGCUGGGGGGCCGCAGGGUGGCUGCAGGGUGGUCUGGACCGUAAAGCUGAUGGUCCAAAGUGGAGGGAGAAGUCCCAUCAGGACAUAGAUGUGACCAGAGGAGAAAUGCUGGUGGAGGACACCAGCCCCCAUGGCGCUUGGUUUCUGUUGUGUCGCUGGGCUGGGCUCACCCUGGAGUCUGAAGGAUGGCGAAGGGCCGUGGCUGGCUUUUGCCGAGACACCAGCAGACAGUGGGUUGGAAGAGAAGAAAGCCCCUGGACUCCUGACUCACCCAGGCUUGAGCCUCCUGUCCUGAUUGCUUAGUUCUGGAUGCUUCCAUGCUUCUCCUCUGUCCCCACCCAAGGCAAGGGAACUGGUUUGGUUACCACUGCCAUCUGCUCCACCUCAGUCUCUCCCUCAGCCCUCACCUGAGGCAAGGCUGCCCCGCUACCAGACCUAGAUAGCACAGGACUGCCCUUGGCUGUCACCUCUGCUACAGAGGCAGGAGCUACUGUUUCAUGUGUUUGUCACUAAGUGUGGGAUGGCGUUUAUCAUAUCUGGCUUACAGGUGGAGAAGGCAGAAAACUGUUCACUGACUUGCUCAGAUUCACUUAGUGACCUGAGGUCUAAGCCCAGCUGUGCUGCCUCCCUGCUAAAGGCUCUGACCGUUUCUGGAAGCAGGGGGCCUGUCUAUCCACAGCCAUGGAGCUGAAGUGCAGAGGGGCCAAACCAGCUGCCUCCAGACGCCCAAGACCCUGCGGCCUCAAUACCUACUCAGGGGUCAUGCCAGGGGCCACAAGGUCUCUCUCUGGCCAGACAAGUGCCUCCUGCUGCCAGGACUCAGGGCAAUAGUGAGGCAAGAGGGUGGAGUCCCUGGAGCUUCCUGGGUGAGCUCUGCCUUGCAGGAGGGGUCCUGCAGUAGCUGGUUCCUAGGGGAAGUGCUGAAGGGGAAGGGAAGAGAGGAAUUCAUGUGACCAGAGCUUGCUGGGACCAUUCUCAACACUGAUAAUAAACCCUGAUUUCCUGGAAGUCUGUCAGGCCUCAACAAGCGAUGGGCUCUCCGUGGAAGCUUCAGCAUUGUUUCUAUCACAAGCCACCCCCAGAAGACCCCAGAAGCCUGAACACCACCCAACAGGCCAGGAUGAGCUCAAGUGUGGAGCAGCAGGGACUGUAGUAGGGAGGAAGCUGCCAGUUACAUCUGGACCGUAAAGUCAUAUUGGAUCACCAUGGGGAGCUUAUGGUCACCCUGGCUGGCUGCUGACAGGGGCUCCAGGCUCCAGCCCGCCCUGUGGCCAGAGCCCCGGAGGCCCAUCUGGGUGGCAUCAGGAUCUUGGACUCUGCCUGGCCCGUGCCCAGCGUGGGGCUGCUUCUCCUCCAUAGCUCCUUCCCAGAGGGCGGGGCCUCAGCCUCCCUGCCACGCCCCCUCCAGGCUGGCCUGGAGCACACGACUAUGUUGACAGUAACAAUAAAGCUUCUCAGGGACCACUGCA